UACGGGGGGAGCAAGCGUUGUUCGGAUUUACUGGGCGUAAAGGGCGCGUAGGCGGCCAGCACAAGUCAGUUGUGAAAUCUCCGAGCUUAACUCGGAACGGUCAACUGAUACUGUGCGGCUAGAGUGCAGAAGGGGCAACUGGAAUUCUUGGUGUAGCGGUGAAAUGCGUAGAUAUCAAGAGGAACACCUGCGGCGAAGGCGGGUUGCUGGGCUGACACGUGACGCUGGAGGCGACUGAAAAGCCUAGGGGAGCGAACGGG
rnacentral:rRNA from 1 species